CCCUUAGAUGUUCUGGGCCGCACGCGCGCUACACUGUUCGACGCAGCGAGUCUUAACCUUGACCGAAAGGUUUGGGUAAUCUUCAGCAAAGUCGAACGUGAUGGGGAUCGAUCAUUGCAAUUAUUGAUCGUGAACGAGGAAUUCCUAGUAAGUGCAAGUCAUCAGCUUGCGCUGAUUACGUCCCUGCCCUUUGUACACACCGCCCGUCGCUACUACCGAUUGAAUGGUUUAGCGAGAUCUCUGGAUUGACGCUGGCUAGGGGGCGACCCUUGGCCAGACUGCUCGAGAAACUGCUCAAACUUGAUCAUUUAGAGGAAGUAAAAGUCGUAACA
rnacentral:rRNA from 1 species